rnacentral:rRNA from 1 species
AUUGAACGCUGGCGGCAGGCUUAACACAUGCAAGUCGAGCGGGGGAAAGUACUUCGGUACUGGACCUAGCGGCGGACGGGUGAGUAAUGCUUAGGAAUCUGCCAUUUAGUAGGGGAUAACAUUCCGAAAGGAAUGCUAAUACCGCAUACGUCCUACGAGAGAAAGCAGGGGAUCUUCGGACCUUGCGCUAAAUGAUGAGCCUAAGUCGGAUUAGCUAGUUGGUGGGGUAAAGGCCUACCAAGGCGACGAUCUGUAGCGGGUCUGAGAGGAUGAUCCGCCACACUGGGACUGAGACACGGCCCAGACUCCUACGGGAGGCAGCAGUGGGGAAUAUUGGACAAUGGGCGGAAGCCUGAUCCAGCCAUGCCGCGUGUGUGAAGAAGGCCUUAUGGUUGUAAAGCACUUUAAGCGAGGAGGAGGCUCUUCUGGUUAAUACCCAGGAUGAGUGGACGUUACUCGCAGAAUAAGCACCGGCUAACUCUGUGCCAGCCGCCGCAGUAAUAC